AUCUUAUCAAGAGCAGGUGGAGGGACUAGCCCUAUGAAACCCGGCAACCGGCGGCAAUAUCGCACGGUGCUAAUUCUUGCAGGAUGUACGCGACCUUAUCGUUAAGGACCGCGAAAUUCUGACAGAUGAGAG
rnacentral:ncRNA from 2 species